rnacentral:rRNA from 1 species
GGUUUUUAGAUUUAAUUAAAAAUCAAGCCUGCUCAAUGCUAAGUAAAUAGCCGCAGAAUUUUAACUGUGCAAAGGUAGCAUAAUCACUUGUCUUUUAAUUGAGGACUAGAAUGAAAGGUUUAACUAUGUAAUUUUGUCUUAUAGUAAUAUUUUGAACUUAAUUUUUUAGUAAAAAAGCUAAAAUACAUCUUAAAGACGAGAAGACCCUAUUAAGCUUAACAAUCUAAUAUUAUUUUCAAACUAAUUAAAAAAUUGUUCUGCUGGGGCAGCAAAUAAAAAAAUAUUGUUUACAUAUUGUGAUAAAUAAAUCUAGAAAAAUCAAUAAUUUGUUAAAAAAUAAUAAGUUACUAUAGGGAUAACAGCAUAAUUUUUUUAAAGAGUUCUCAUCAACAAAAAAGUUUGUGACCUCGAUGUUGGAUUAAGAAUCCUAUUUCACGCAGUAGUAAAAAAAGGGAGUCUGUUCGACUUUUAAAUUCUUCCA